UGCAAUGUAUAACCCAAUCAUGGAUGGAUACGCGUAAUGCGCACAUAAAGACACAUCCGUGAAUUCGAUUAUCUGGCCCGGGUUGGUCCCUACCCCAUUGAAGUUUACAUUUAAAAUAGUUAAAGAGCGACUGCCCCUUAAAAAACAGCGAUGUGGCAUUGAUAUGAGUCAAACAUUUAUUCUAGUGUCAAACUUGAUGACUACAAAGUGUUAAAAUAAUAAUUUUGUUCAUGAAGUCAGUCUUGUCUGAAACCGAGUUUGGAACCUCGGGGCAUCACACCGAGUAAAUGAAGGUUGGGUUUCGAUUACAAUUAUGUCAAUAAAUCAUGCCCCUUUUGUCAAACUCCACGUGUAAAUUGCCCCUCCCACUUCGUUUCCGUUCAUGGAUUGGAACUCAAUUGUUUCUUCGUCCUAAACCAAAGCGAUCAUGGCCGUUUGAGACUGAAAAGCCCUAUACGGAUUCACCAUGCAAUGCAUGCUUUCAGCUAGGUUGAAGGGCAUAAUUGGGUGCCAGACUGAUCCCGUGGUCAUGAACGGAUGCUGGGACCUACCAGAAGGAGCAACGGUGGGCUUGUCAGGCAAGACCUCAGAAUAAGUGUUUCACAACAAGUACUCUUGUGACACCUCAUCCAUUGUUGCCAGUCUCCCUCAACUCUGAUGAAAAGGACACGCCGGCAUGAGGCCUCUGACCGUGAGUUACUGCCCUGACGACACAGAUGGCUUCAUCGACAGGCACUUCCAGUCAACACCACCUAAUAAGAUUGGCUGCUGCAGUUGUUUGAGAGAUGUCCAGUUUGCAGCUGAACAUGCAGCAUAGAGAAGACAAGCAAGGGGUCCCUCAUCAGCAUCAUGCAGACAUGCCCUCACAGUGAGCAUUCCUAUGAAUGGAACAGUUGUGGCUGACAAGUAUCCGACCAGCGACCUUCACUUGUCAGCGGCAACAGCUUUCACAGGAUCAUCAUUUGUACAAAUACAAACAAUUUCUGUAAACUGACA